GGGCAGAAAAAAUCAACCAAUCAGAUGCAAAACUAAUGCCAUGUCAGCAAUCGAUAUUUUUGCUUUACGAUUGUGGUUUUCCUUUCCUCUUCCCGUCUUUUGCGUUCCUAAACUCCUCAUCCUGACUUUCUCUCUCGCUUAUCCUCUUAUCAAAUCUAGAUCCUUCAGAGGAGGCGAGAUGAGAUUUUUGUUGUAAUAUAGUUUUCGAUCUUUAGAUCGAUCUUUUGUUUUCGCUUGGCGAUUCGCGAUGGCGAUUAUUUUGUUGUGUUUCUUUCAAUCAAAUCCGGACAGAUCUUAAAGCUUCAAUCUUCUUCUCGGGUUUGAUAUGAACAAUAAAGUCUGAUGUUUUAAGCUCUCCUCUUUUGCAAAUUUUUCUAGAUCCCGCUUAACUUCUGUCGUUUCUUUUUCUUCUCUGGGCAAGCACUAAAUCUUUUCUUAAUAGGAGUCAAGCUUUGCUCUGCUUUAAGCAGUAUUGAUUGAUUUGUCUUCGAGUGAAGUAUCCUAGAUGGGAAAGAUGCGGUGGUGUUUGAUUAUGUCUUGGCUGAUCUAAGGGAGAUCCAGAAGAGUUGGUAUCCAAUAGAUGGUCCGGCGAAGAAUCUCUUCAAAUCAUCCGAGCUUUUCUCUGUAUUAACAACCAGUGAUGAAGAAUGAUUCGAUCUCAAGUGGCGGUUUUGGUAAGAGGCAGAAUCUAAGGAGUACAAAAGUUUGGGGCUUUGCGUGUGAAAGAUGAAGACCGACUACGGUGGUUCGUCAUCGGAGAACUCCUGACUAAGUUGCUUUCUCAUCUAUCAAUGAUUAUUUGACAAGAGAGCAUCCCCAAUUCUUCAUAUAUCAAUUAUCACGGCACUCAAAUACAUCCACAUUGCUAAAGUCUAUCACAGAGAUCUGAAGCCAAAGAACAAACUGGCAAAUGAAAACUGUAAAAUCAAGAUUUGUGAUUUUGGAUUAGGAAGGGGUUUCAUUCAGUGAUAGCCCACAGCAAUCUUUUGAACGGUAUGGUGCACAAGAUGUCUCUCUAAGAGUCUUUCUCUUCUCCUAAAUAUACACCCACCAUUGAUAUAUGGAGUAUAGGCUGCAUCUUUUCCAGAGUAUUAGUGAGAAAUCCACUUUCCCUGGAAAGAAUGUGGUUCACCAGAUGGAUCUUAUGACUGAUCUGCUGGGGAAACCUUCCAUGGACACCAUCUCCCGGGUACUGAUCUUCUUAGACAUAAGGUUUUGAGGUUCUGCAAAAUCUUAAAAGCAUGGACCACUGAUGAGUAUCCUGAUUUUACAAUAUUAUACAUGUAAGGAAUGAGAAGGCAAGGUACUUUUUCUGUGCU